UACGUAGGUGACAAGCGUUGUCCGGAUUUACUGGGCGUAAAGAGCUCGUAGGCGGCUUGUCGCGUCGAAUGUGAAAUCUCAGGGCUCAACUCUGACAUUGCAUUCGAUACGGGCAGGCUCGAGUUCGGUAGGGGAGACUGGAAUUCCUGGUGUAGCGGUGAAAUGCGCAGAUAUCAGGAAGAACACCCGUGGCGAAGGCGGCUCUCUGGAACGCAACUGACGCUGAGACGCGAAAGCGUGGGGAGCGAGCAGG
rnacentral:rRNA from 1 species